rnacentral:lncRNA from 1 species
AGUGAUAUCUCCUUUGGGCACCAGAAGGAAGUGUCAUGGCAUAUAUACCAUGUAUCUUCUAUUUCUGUUCUAGGACUUUGAGGACUUCAGUGUCACAGCACUUGACUUGGCCUUGCAGUGAUGGUCACUGGCAAGACUGAUGUAGUAAGAAAAGUGCAGACUGGGAACAAGGUGGGCUAAUUCGAGUCCCAAAUCUGCCACCAGCUCUGUUUGAUCUUAGUCAUGUUUUUUUUUCUUUUUUCUUUUUAGGGUCACGCCCAUGGCAUUUGGAGGUUCCCAAGCUAGGGGUCAAAUCAGAGCUGUAACCUUCAGCCUGCACCACAGCCACAGAAACACUGGAUCCAAGCCUCAUCUGCAACCUGCACCAUAGCUCUCGGCAACACCGGGUCCUUAACCCACUGAACGAGGUCAAGGAUCAAACCCACGUCCUCAUGGAUGCUAGUCGGGUUCAUUAACCACUGAGCCACGAUGGGAACUCCUGAUCUUAGUCAUGUUUCAUGGUUAUUUUGAGAAUCAGUCAAGUGAACACUAAGAUUCCUUUAUUUUUUAAAAAGCUGGGGAGUUCCUGUCAUGGUGUAGUGGAAGUGAAUCUGACUAGUAUCCAUAAGGAUGUGCUUUCGAUCCCUGGCCUUGCUCAAUGGGUCAGCAAUCCAGCAUUUCCAUGAGCUGUAGUGUAGGUCACAGAUGCAGCUCAGAUCCCAAGUUGCUGUGGCUGUGGUGUAGGCCAGUGGCUACAGCUCCCAUUUGACUCCUAGCCUGGAAACCUCCACGUGCUGCGGGUGCGGCCUUAAAAAGAAAAAAAAAAGGUUGAUUUUCUAAACCACAAACUAUACAUAGAAUGAUGCUCCCAUUCAUUCAUUCAUUCAUCUGCUAGGGGUUGGACACUGCCCAAGCAUGACCAAGAAAGUAUCACAGAGCUUAGAGUCUAUCAACAACUACCCACCAAAAAAGAAGAAUGAGAAAGCAAAAAAGAUGAAAUCCUCUUAUAUGUAAGUGACAAGAAAUCUGAGUAUAAACUAUAAUGUAUCAUUCUUCUAACUUUGCUGAGGGAUGGGGUGCUGGAACAAAAACAAUUGGAAUAGCUCAAGGAAACCAUCAUCUCCACCUUUCUUUUCUGAAAAAAAGAAAACAAAAAGAAAACAGAGAAAAAAGGACGACAUGUGAAGCAAGGAAAUCCAUCCUGAAGCACAAGCCUAUAUACCUGUAGGAAGUACCACUUUCCAGAGCCUCAGAAUUAUGGGCCAGUCCAUGAACAGUUGACCACUAGAGCCAGGAACUGGAGAAGAACUUUUCCAAUAGGAUGGGGAAAAAAAUGAAUGCUUGAACAUACCAUUUACUUGGAAAACUGAAAGUGUUUCUGGGAGAACAAAAUUUUAUGAAUGCACUUUGCUGACCUGGGAGUCCUGUCAGUUCAGCAGGAGAUGGGAAAGGAUGGGGCCAGCCUGAAUGGCCCAGGUCUUGACAGGAAUUUGAACCAGUGGCAAAUGAGAAUUUAGGAAUAGUAUCAAGGACUAGCACCCUGUUUUCAAGCUAUGCCUGCUAUUAGUUUCCUGAACAGUAAAAUGAAAAGGUUGAACCAGAUGAUUGCUAAGGUCAUUUCUGGCCUGAGACUUGUAUUUAUGUUCCUUGCAGAAAAUCCUGGGGAAGAAACAAGGACGAAUGGCGAAUUCCUUGUGUAGUUAUCUAGAUAUAAAAUCUAAAACUGAUAGGUAGGGAGAUGGUUAGUCAAAUUCUAACAAACUGGACAUAGUUUUGCAAACUAAGUUCAAAAUACAGUCACUGCCCUUCUUUUUAUAUUAGAUGAACAAAUUGUGGAACCUAAGAUGAAAAGAUCUCUGUAGCACAUAACGAAGCCUCCAUGGCAUGAAUUAAAGCUUUCACCCAACCUAGGCCUGAAAAAAAACAGAAAGUCAGUGCUGCAUGGGAACCUAGAAGAAUUAUCUACAAGAACUGAGGGUGCACAAGGUUCUAAAUGUAAUGCACUGACUUUCAAGGGCAUCUUCAGUCACUUCUACUAAUGGAUAUAAUGAUAGAAGCAAUGUGGUUUUGCCCCUUUUUGUGGCUAAGAAACAUUCUAUGUCUUUCCUUCAUGUUUGAAGAUAACUCAACAGAUCCAGUUAAUAGGAUGUGCAUUUGGGGGUGUUUCAGGCCAGCCUUUGUUUUGAAACAUUCCCUUACUUGUCCAUUUAUUUUCUCUCCAGAUCAUUCUCCUGCUGACAGAGGCUAAGCAGAGGUUGGCAUAGGGAACAGAGGUUUUAGUUCCAGUCAAGGCUCCACUCACAACUUUGGGAUCCUUGACUUGAUGUUAAAACAGAUCCAGGAGUUCCCAUCGUGGCGCAGCGGUUAACGAAUCCGACUAUGAACCAUGAGGUUGCGGGUUCGAUCCCUGACCCUGCUCAGUGGGUUAAGGAUCUGGCAUUGCCGUGAGCUGCAGUGUAGGUUGCAGAUGCAGCUCGGAUCCCGCAUUGCUGUGGCUCUGGUGUAGGCCGGUGGCUACAGCUCCGAUUAGACCCCUAGCCUGGGAACCUCCAUAUGCCACGGGAGUGGCCCAAAAAAAUAGCAAAAAGACAAAAAACAAACAAACAAACAAAAACCAAACAGAUCCAGACAGCCUAAUUAAGGGUUAGAGUUUAAACCCCACGCUGAAGUUAGCCCCAGGAUAUACAAUAUGCUUAUUUCAUUUUGCAAGAAACAAAGAGCCAAGAACUCUCACUUAUCCUGCACCUUUCAGUGGCUUUUCCUCCAGCCCCUAACAGCCUGUUGACAGCCUGCCCACAAGGUCCCUAUCUUCCCUUCUGCCUACUUCCUCUUCAGCAGGGCUGAUGCUUCUGUGGUGUAAGUUCUUUUUUUUAGGGCUGUACCCACAGCAUAUGGAAGUUCUCAGGCGAGGGGUUGAGUCAGAGCUGCAGCUGCCAGCCUAUACCACAGCAACAGCAAUGCAGGAUCCAAGCUGCAUCUGCAACUACACCACACCUAACGGCAAUGCCCAAUCCUUAACCCAUUGAGCAAGGCCAGGGAUCGAACCCACAUCCUUAUGGAUAGUAGUCAGGUUUGUUGUUACCCCUGAGCCAUGAUGGAACUCCUGCGGUCUAAGUUCUUAUAUACCCAGCAUUUUGGGGCCUAUGGGGAAAUGGAC